UACGUAGGCAGCGAGCGUUGUUCGGAGUUACUGGGCGUAAAGAGUGCGUAGGCGGGUUUCUAAGUUUGGUGUGAAAUCUCCCGGCUUAACUGGGAGGGUGCGCCGAAGACUGGAAGGCUUGAGUAUGGGAGAGGUAAGCGGAAUUCCUGGUGUAGCGGUGAAAUGCGUAGAUAUCAGGAGGAACACCUGCGGUGUAGACGGCUUACUGGACCAUAACUGACGCUGAGGCACGAAAGCGUGGGUAGCAAACAGG
rnacentral:rRNA from 1 species